rnacentral:rRNA from 1 species
CCUACGUGGUGCAGCAGUGGGGAAUAUUGGACAAUGGGCGAAAGCCUGAUCCAGCCAUGCCGCGUGUGUGAAGAAGGCCUUCGGGUUGUAAAGCACUUUCAGUGGGGAAGAAAGCCUUGGGGCUAAUACCCUCGAGGAAGGACAUCACCCACAGAAGAAGCACCGGCUAACUCCGUGCCAGCAGCCGCGGUAAUACGGAGGGUGCGAGCGUUAAUCGGAAUUACUGGGCGUAAAGCGCGCGUAGGCGGUCUGAUAAGCCGGUUGUGAAAGCCCCGGGCUCAACCUGGGAACGGCAUCCGGAACUGUCAGGCUAGAGUGCAGGAGAGGAAGGUAGAAUUCCCGGUGUAGCGGUGAAAUGCGUAGAGAUCGGGAGGAAUACCAGUGGCGAAGGCGGCCUUCUGGACUGACACUGACGCUGGGGUGCGAAAGCGUGGGUAGCAAACAGGAUUAGAUACCCUUGUAGUC